rnacentral:rRNA from 1 species
GACGAACGCUGGCGGCGUGCUUAACACAUGCAAGUCGAACGGAAAGGCCCUGCUUUUGUGGGGUGCUCGAGUGGCGAACGGGUGAGUAACACGUGAGUAACCUGCCCUUGACUUUGGGAUAACUUCAGGAAACUGGGGCUAAUACCGGAUAGGAGCUCCUGCUGCAUGGUGGGGGUUGGAAAGUUUCGGCGGUUGGGGAUGGACUCGCGGCUUAUCGGCUUGUUGGUGGGGUAGUGGCUUACCAAGGCUUUGACGGGUGGCCGGCCUGAGAGGGUGACCGGCCACAUUGGGACUGAGAUACGGCCCAGACUCCUACGGGAGGCAGCAGUGGGGAAUAUUGCACAAUGGGCGGAAGCCUGAUGCAGCAACGCCGCGUGCGGGAUGACGGCCUUCGGGUUGUAAACCGCUUUCGCCUGUGACGAAGCGUGAGUGACGGUAAUGGGUAAAGAAGCACCGGCUAACUACGUG